CGCUCCCAUCGCUCUUUCGUCUUGUCAGCUUUACCGCGUCACAUGAGCCACGUUGAUCCUCGUACGAUCCCUGUAGCUCGAGCGUGCUUCUAACGGACUCUGCGACAUUUCAUUAAUUUUCGACAUCGUCAGAGAUGCGAUAGGUAAUAGGAACAAUCAACACGAGGAAGAAACGGUAUUGGUGGUGUCCUUGUGACUCCAGCAGACUUUAUUUCUACCAGGAACUGCAUACCGUUGUAUGGUUCUUUCUAACAGGUUAUGGUGUAAUAACUCAAAUCAAAGAUUGGUCUUUACCAUGCAUAAUAAAUAUUUACCGUUAAUAGCUAUCUCAAUAUAAUUCGUGCAUUCAUAGAUAUUUAUUCGUUCUAUCAAUUGAAUUAACUACAUUAAUUGUUAUGUUCGUUAGGUCAAUCGAUGUUAUCAAAUUAUCGAUAUUCCCUACGUUAUCACUGAAUCAAGCUUAUAAUUGUACAAUUAUACAUAUACAGGUGUUUUGUUGUUCAAUAUUUCUAUGUCGUUUUGCUUUUCGUUCGAUCGAAACACACACACACACAUCUCUCAUUUAAAAAUACAAUUUUAAUCCAUAAUAUUUAAUAAAAUAAUCUUUUACAGAUAGAGGAUACUUCGGUCCGUUGUGACGUGAUGAUAAACGUUUGUCCCGUUGAUACUCGAUUCCAGAAAUCUUUUUCCUUUCGAUAUUCAUCGAAGAUUUAUACAUCGGUUUCUAUUUCGAACUUCGUAGUGAUUGCCACUGCGCACUUGAUAUCGUUAAUUAGAUAUUUAUAUUGUAUUUAAUUGUAUUUUUUAUUUUUUUAUUUUUUAAGGAUUUCUUCUCUUUCUAUUUUAUCUUCGGACGUUUAAAGUGCCCGUUUCGAUCGUUCGUGCUGAUUCUCUCUUAAGUUCGCUUUCAUGUCAAUUGCGUUGGUUCCAUCUUGCACCGUAUUAAAGCGUUAAGCAUUACUUCGGUUUGCAUU